rnacentral:lncRNA from 1 species
GUCUGUAUCUUAAAGGCAGGAACAGAGGCUCUGUGCCUCCUCCACCUGUUAGUCCAGCCAGGCACCCCACCCUGGAUGCAGCUUUGGGCCUGAGGCCGAGAGGAUUCCUGGAAGAGGAGCAGUGUACCUUCUACAUAUGGCCAUGGCAGAGUAACUGGGAUCAGAUUUCCUUCCCAAUAUAAACAAUAAGAAAACUAGACGAAAGAUAUAAAACAACUGUUUUCAAACAUUGAACAACUGGCAGUGCAGGAUUGUGAUCCUUGUGAGCAGACUGGGACACUGGUCUUCUCCUUCCUUUGGACUCAGACUCAGACUUAGACUGGAAUUUACAACAUCAACUCACCUGGGUUUCCAGCUUGCCAACUUCAGAUCUUGGACUUCUCAUCUUCUAUAAUCAUUGCCAUAAAAUAAGGAAGUGUUCAACAACAACUUAUGAUGGAGGUGUAUCAGAGGAGGACAAGAGCCAAUGGAAAGAGCUCCCAAUGGCCAAAGCUGGAACAACUUGAACAACAAAACAAAUAAGGAUCUGUUCCAGAAGGAACUGCUGGAUCAAAGCAUGUGCGAACUCUUAAGGCUUCUGAUACAUAUUGCCAAAUUACCACUCGAAGGACUUACCAGCAGUGAAUGGGAGAACCUCUUCCCCAGGGUCCUGACCCACCCAACCAUAAACACACAAUAAGGAAGUAAGGGGGAUGGGGGAGGGAUAUUAAUGUUUUAAUUUGUUCUUUUGUUUAUAAGUAAAGAAAAAUUUGUUUAUUCCUUAUGAUU